CUUUUGCUGAGAUGUAAGUCGCUUUGGACAAAAGCGUCUGCUAAAUGAAUAAAU
rfam:Scleropages formosus scaffold1046, whole genome shotgun sequence.